rnacentral:rRNA from 1 species
AACGAACGCUGGCGGCAUGCCUAACACAUGCAAGUCGAACGAACCCUUCGGGGUUAGUGGCGCACGGGUGCGUAACGCGUGGGAACCUGCCUUUAGGUUCGGAAUAACUCAGAGAAAUUUGAGCUAAUACCGGAUAAUGUCUUCGGACCAAAGAUUUAUCGCCUUUAGAUGGGCCCGCGUUAGAUUAGAUAGUUGGUGGGGUAAUGGCCUACCAAGUCGACGAUCUAUAGCUGGUCUGAGAGGAUGAUCAGCCACACUGGGACUGAGACACGGCCCAGACUCCUACGGGAGGCAGCAGUGGGGAAUAUUGGACAAUGGGCGAAAGCCUGAUCCAGCAAUGCCGCGUGAGUGAUGAAGGCCUUAGGGUUGUAAAGCUCUUUUACCAGGGAUGAUAAUGACAGUACCUGGAGAAUAAGCUCCGGCUAACUCCGUGCCAGCCGCCGCCGUAACAC